rnacentral:rRNA from 1 species
UACGGAGGGUGCAAGCGUUGUCCGGAUUUAUUGGGUUUAAAGGGUGCGUAGGCGGAUCUUUAAGUCAGUGGUGAAAUCCUGCAGCUUAACUGUAGAACUGCCAUUGAUACUGGAGAUCUUGAGUAUACUAGAGGUAGGCGGAAUUUAUGGUGUAGCGGUGAAAUGCAUAGAUACCAUAAAGAACACCAAUAGCGUAGGCAGCUUACUGGAGUAUAACUGACGCUGAGGCACGAAAGCAUGGGUAG